rnacentral:rRNA from 1 species
UUAAGCGACUAAGCGUACACGGUGGAUGCCCUGGCAGUCAGAGGCGAUGAAGGACGUGCUAAUCUGCGAUAAGCGUCGGUAAGGUGAUAUGAACCGUUAUAACCGGCGAUUUCCGAAUGGGGAAACCCAGUGUGUUUCGACACACUAUCAUUAACUGAAUCCAUAGGUUAAUGAGGCGAACCGGGGGAACUGAAACAUCUAAGUACCCCGAGGAAAAGAAAUCAACCGAGAUUCCCCCAGUAGCGGCGAGCGAACGGGGAGCAGCCCAGAGCCUGAAUCAGUAUGUGUGUUAGUGGAAGCGUCUGGAAAGGCGCGCGAUACAGGGUGACAGCCCCGUACACAAAAAUGCACAUAUUGUGAGCUCGAUGAGUAGGGCGGGACACGUGGUAUCCUGUCUGAAUAUGGGGGGACCAUCCUCCAAGGCUAAAUACUCCUGACUGACCGAUAGUGAACCAGUACCGUGAGGGAAAGGCGAAAAGAACCCCGGCGAGGGGAGUGAAAAAGAACCUGAAACCGUGUACGUACAAGCAGUGGGAGCACGCUUAGGCGUGUGACUGCGUACCUUUUGUAUAAUGGGUCAGCGACUUAUAUUCUGUAGCAAGGUUAACCGAAUAGGGGAGCCGAAGGGAAACCGAGUCUUAACUGGGCGUUAAGUUGCAGGGUAUAGACCCGAAACCCGGUGAUCUAGCCAUGGGCAGGUUGAAGGUUGGGUAACACUAACUGGAGGACCGAACCGACUAAUGUUGAAAAAUUAGCGGAUGACUUGUGGCUGGGGGUGAAAGGCCAAUCAAACCGGGAGAUAGCUGGUUCUCCCCGAAAGCUAUUUAGGUAGCGCCUCGUGAAUUCAUCUCCGGGGGUAGAGCACUGUUUCGGCAAGGGGGUCAUCCCGACUUACCAACCCGAUGCAAACUGCGAAUACCGGAGAAUGUUAUCACGGGAGACACACGGCGGGUGCUAACGUCCGUCGUGAAGAGGGAAACAACCCAGACCGCCAGCUAAGGUCCCAAAGUCAUGGUUAAGUGGGAAACGAUGUGGGAAGGCCCAGACAGCCAGGAUGUUGGCUUAGAAGCAGCCAUCAUUUAAAGAAAGCGUAAUAGCUCACUGGUCGAGUCGGCCUGCGCGGAAGAUGUAACGGGGCUAAACCAUGCACCGAAGCUGCGGCAGCGACGCUGAUGCGUUGUUGGGUAGGGGAGCGUUCUGUAAGCCUGCGAAGGUGUGCUGUGAGGCAUGCUGGAGGUAUCAGAAGUGCGAAUGCUGACAUAAGUAACGAUAAAGCGGGUGAAAAGCCCGCUCGCCGGAAGACCAAGGGUUCCUGUCCAACGUUAAUCGGGGCAGGGUGAGUCGACCCCUAAGGCGAGGCCGAAAGGCGUAGUCGAUGGGAAACAGGUUAAUAUUCCUGUACUUGGUGUUACUGCGAAGGGGGACGGAGAAGGCUAUGUUGGCCGGGCGACGGUUGUCCCGGUUUAAGCGUGUAGGCUGGUUUUCCAGGCAAAUCCGGAAAAUCAAGGCUGAGGCGUGAUGACGAGGCACUACGGUGCUGAAGCAACAAAUGCCCUGCUUCCAGGAAAAGCCUCUAAGCAUCAGGUAACAUCAAAUCGUACCCCAAACCGACACAGGUGGUCAGGUAGAGAAUACCAAGGCGCUUGAGAGAACUCGGGUGAAGGAACUAGGCAAAAUGGUGCCGUAACUUCGGGAGAAGGCACGCUGAUAUGUAGGUGAGGUCCCUCGCGGAUGGAGCUGAAAUCAGUCGAAGAUACCAGCUGGCUGCAACUGUUUAUUAAAAACACAGCACUGUGCAAACACGAAAGUGGACGUAUACGGUGUGACGCCUGCCCGGUGCCGGAAGGUUAAUUGAUGGGGUUAGCGCAAGCGAAGCUCUUGAUCGAAGCCCCGGUAAACGGCGGCCGUAACUAUAACGGUCCUAAGGUAGCGAAAUUCCUUGUCGGGUAAGUUCCGACCUGCACGAAUGGCGUAAUGAUGGCCAGGCUGUCUCCACCCGAGACUCAGUGAAAUUGAACUCGCUGUGAAGAUGCAGUGUACCCGCGGCAAGACGGAAAGACCCCGUGAACCUUUACUAUAGCUUGACACUGAACAUUGAGCCUUGAUGUGUAGGAUAGGUGGGAGGCUUAGAAGUGUGGACGCCAGUCUGCAUGGAGCCGACCUUGAAAUACCACCCUUUAAUGUUUGAUGUUCUAACGUUGACCCGUAAUCCGGGUUGCGGACAGUGUCUGGUGGGUAGUUUGACUGGGGCGGUCUCCUCCUAAAGAGUAACGGAGGAGCACGAAGGUUGGCUAAUCCUGGUCGGACAUCAGGAGGUUAGUGCAAUGGCAUAAGCCAGCUUGACUGCGAGCGUGACGGCGCGAGCAGGUGCGAAAGCAGGUCAUAGUGAUCCGGUGGUUCUGAAUGGAAGGGCCAUCGCUCAACGGAUAAAAGGUACUCCGGGGAUAACAGGCUGAUACCGCCCAAGAGUUCAUAUCGACGGCGGUGUUUGGCACCUCGAUGUCGGCUCAUCACAUCCUGGGGCUGAAGUAGGUCCCAAGGGUAUGGCUGUUCGCCAUUUAAAGUGGUACGCGAGCUGGGUUUAGAACGUCGUGAGACAGUUCGGUCCCUAUCUGCCGUGGGCGCUGGAGAACUGAGGGGGGCUGCUCCUAGUACGAGAGGACCGGAGUGGACGCAUCACUGGUGUUCGGGUUGUCAUGCCAAUGGCACUGCCCGGUAGCUAAAUGCGGAAGAGAUAAGUGCUGAAAGCAUCUAAGCACGAAACUUGCCCCGAGAUGAGUUCUCCCUGACCCUUUAAGGGUCCUGAAGGAACGUUGAAGACGACGACGUUGAUAGGCCGGGUGUGUAAGCGCAGCGAUGCGUUGAGCUAACCGGUACUAAUGAACCGUGAGGCUUAACCUU